rnacentral:rRNA from 1 species
GUUUCAGCAGCCGCGGUAAGACGGAGGGUGCUAGCGUUGUUCGGAAUUACUGGGCGUAAAGGGCGCGUAGGCGGCCUGUUAAGUCGGUUGUGAAAGCCCGGGGCUCAACCCCGGAACGGCAGCCGAGACUGGCGGGCUCGAGACCGGGAGAGGUGGGUGGAAUACCCAGUGUAGAGGUGAAAUUCGUAGAUAUUGGGUGGAACACCGGUGGCGAAAGCGGCUCACUGGCCCGGUUCUGACGCUGAGGCGCGAAAGCGUGGGGAGCAAACAGGAUUAGAAACCCGUGUAGUCC